rnacentral:rRNA from 1 species
CGUGAGCGGCGGACGGGUGAGUAACGCGUGGGUAACCUGCCUCAUACAGGGGGGUAACAGUUAGAAAUGACUGCUAAUACCGCAUAAGACCACAGCACCGCAUGGUGCGGGGGUAAAAACUCCGGUGGUAUGAGAUGGACCCGCGUCUGAUUAGCUAGUUGGUAAGGUAACGGCUUACCAAGGCGACGAUCAGUAGCCGACCUGAGAGGGUGACCGGCCACAUUGGGACUGAGACACGGCCCAA